UCUCUCACCUUCGUUGACCAGAUCUGCUAGCCUCAGCGGCUUGAGCAGUGGCUUGAAGCUGACUCUCAGGGGUCUGAGACCUAGCCUGGGAGUCAUAACUGGAGAAUGUGAAGAUAGAAACAAUACUUCUUCAACCCUUGUUCUCCUGUUCCUCACUGUGUAACAGCCUCCAUGAUGAUCUCAGCAUGGACUAGGGAUGCACUCAUACUCAUCCUUCCAGCCUCUGCUUUCCAGGAGCUUGGUGGAGAAGGUGAUUAGAGCUGAUGUUGUUGAUACAGGUGAACAGAGGUGAUGCGGCUGGGCAGUUACAGGAGGUAGUUAGUGACAAGGAGUCCUUAAGGUCUUCCCUCUUCUCCACUGCCCUCCCCUGAGCUGUUCUUCUGAGGUGGUCAGGCAACAACUAGCUUUUUCCCAGGUACACACAUCAAGCAGAGCAUUGUGAUCGAUCCUGAGGCUUCUGUAUGCCCCCUAAAACUGAGGUUUUUUACAGUAUAAUAAUAAUUGAUGUUUGACAAAGUGCUCAGUAGUCUCUAAAAUUGGAAGAUAUCUUUUACUGAGGCCUAGAUAGGUCAUCCUUAGCAGAAAUCACCCAAACAAUGUGACUUAAACCAGA